AACCUUUCAGCAGCCUCAUAAACAAAAUUCUUGAGGAACUCCUGGUCGCGGUACUCAAAGAACCUGACCACGACAACCUUGUUAACAAAGUCCUCAGUAACUUCGGCCAUGUUGAUGGUGUUGUUGAAGCCAUCAGUAACUUCAACCAUAUUUACAUCAUCUGGCUCUUUGUAAUGAGCGUCAUCUAGGGUCAAAGUCAAUCUUCAUCUAGCUCCUGGGUUUCUCUCCGAAUUUUGAG
rnacentral:lncRNA from 1 species